rnacentral:lncRNA from 10 species
UUUUAAACCCGUGAUUUGGAACUAGGCUCUGACUUCCUGCAUCCUAGCAAGGUGCAAGAAGUCAGAACCUAGUUCCGUCUGUGCUCAGAAGUCAAACCAGGAAUGUGCUGAAGCUGGCCCCUUACAGGCUUGGGAUAGCUGAUAGUUAAUAACACUCAGAAGGUUCACAGUUGUUAAAGCAUUGUUAGCUUGAAACUGAGGAUAUGCAUGCCACAAAAAAAUUGAAAACUGUGAAUUCACAUCCAUUACCAUGUUUGGAACCUUUAAGAUGGUGUUUUUCAUUUCUCCGUGAAAAUGUUAAAGCUCAAUCUUCAGCUUGAAGUCUUAGCCAAAACACUAUCCCCAUGCCCAGCGAAAAAAGGCUAUGACUGGGGAGAGAUGGAAAC